ACUUGGUCAGGAAUCCUUUUGCAGCCUUCAAUGUGGCGUGGAGGCCUCAGCCUGUGGCUCUGCUGAGGUGUUAUGGAGCCCAGGAUGCUCCGAUAGCGGCCUUAAGCUCAUCCAGACUGUUGGAUGAGCUUAACUUUCUCUUCAUAAUAUCCCACAGAUUCUCUAUGGGGUUCAGGUCAGGAGAGUUGGCAGGCCAACAGUAACACCAUGGUCAGUAAUACCAGUGGUUUUGGCCCUGUGAGCAGGUGCCAGGUUGUGCUGAAAAAUGAAAUCUUCAUCUCCAUAAAACUUUUCAGCAGAUGGAAGCAUGAAGUGCUCCAAAAUCUUCUGAUAGCUGCUGCACUGA